rnacentral:tmRNA from 3 species
GGGGCUGAUUCUGGAUUCGACGGGAUUCGCGAAACCCAAGGUGCAUGCCGAGGGGCGGUUGGCCUCGUAAAAAGCCGCAAAAAAAUAGUCGC